UCACGCCUUACGACGGCAGUCUCUACGGAGUUCCCAGCAUUACCUGAUGGCAACCGUAGACAGGGGUUGCGCUCGUUAUGGCACUUAAGCCGACACCUCACGGCACGAGCUGACGACAACCAUGCAGCACCUACAUAGAUGUCCCGAAGGAAAACUCCCUUUCAGGAGCGGUCAUCUACAUUUCAAUCCCGGGUAAGGUUCCUCGCGUAUCAUCGAAUUAAACCACAUGUUCCUCCGCUUGUGCGGGCCCCCGUCAAUUCCUUUGAGUUUCACCGUUGCCGGCGUACUCCCCAGGUGGAUAACUUAACGCUUUCGCUUAGGAGCAUACUGUAUAUCGCAUACGCCCAGUUAUCAUCGUUUACUGCGUGGACUAC
rnacentral:misc_RNA from 1 species